AUUGAACGCUGGCGGCAGGCCUAACACAUGCAAGUCGAACGAGUGGCGGACGGGUGAGUAAUGUCUGGGAAACUGCCUGAUGGAGGGGGAUAACUACUGGAAACGGUCGCUAAUACCGCAUACCACCAGAUUUGCCCAGAUGGGCUUAGCUAGUUGGUGGGGUAACGGCUCACCAAGGCGACGAUCCCUAGCUGGUCUGAGAGGAUAACCAGCCACACUGGAAAGGAGCCACGGUCCAGACUCCUCAGGCAGGCAGCAGUGGGGAAUAUUGCACAAUGGGCGCAAGCCGGAGGAAGCCAUGCCGCGUGGAGGAAGAAGGCCUUCGGGUUUUAAAGUAUUUUCAGCGGGGAGGCGUUACCCGCAGAAGAAGCACCGGCUAACUCCGUGCCAGCAGCCGCGGUAAUAC
rnacentral:rRNA from 1 species